rnacentral:rRNA from 1 species
GACGAACGCUGGCGGCGUGCUUAACACAUGCAAGUCGAACGGUAAGGCUCCAGCUUGCUGGGGUACACGAGUGGCGAACGGGUGAGUAACACGUGGGUGACCUGCCCUGCACUUCGGGAUAAGCCUGGGAAACUGGGUCUAAUACCGGAUAGGACCGCACCGUGAGGGUGUGGUGGAAAGUUUUUUCGGUGUGGGAUGGGCCCGCGGCCUAUCAGCUUGUUGGUGGGGUAAUGGCCUACCAAGGCGGCGACGGGUAGCCGGCCUGAGAGGGUGGACGGCCACAUUGGGACUGAGACACGGCCCAGACUCCUACGGGAGGCAGCAGUGGGGAAUAUUGCACAAUGGGCGGAAGCCUGAUGCAGCGACGCCGCGUGGGGGAUGACGGCCUUCGGGUUGUAAACUCCUUUCACCAUCGACGAAGGGUUUCUGACGGUAGAUGGAGGAGAAGCACCGGCUAACUACGUGCCAGCAGCCGCGGUAAUACGUAGGGUGCGAGCGUUGUCCGGAAUUACUGGGCGUAAAGAGCUCGUAGGUGGUUUGUCGCGUCGUCUGUGAAAUUCCGGGGCUUAACUCCGGGCGUGCAGGCGAUACGGGCAUAACUUGAGUACUGUAGGGGAGACUGGAAUUCCUGGUGUAGCGGUGAAAUGCGCAGAUAUCAGGAGGAACACCGGUGGCGAAGGCGGGUCUCUGGGCAGUAACUGACGCUGAGGAGCGAAAGCAUGGGGAGCGAACAGGAUUAGAUACCCUGGUAGUCCAUGCCGUAAACGGUGGGCGCUAGGUGUGGGUUUCCUUCCACGGGAUCCGUGCCGUAGCUAACGCAUUAAGCGCCCCGCCUGGGGAGUACGGCCGCAAGGCUAAAACUCAAAGGAAUUGACGGGGGCCCGCACAAGCGGCGGAGCAUGUGGAUUAAUUCGAUGCAACGCGAAGAACCUUACCUGGGCUUGACAUAUACAGGAUCGCGCCAGAGAUGGUGUUUCCCUUGUGGCUUGUAUACAGGUGGUGCAUGGUUGUCGUCAGCUCGUGUCGUGAGAUGUUGGGUUAAGUCCCGCAACGAGCGCAACCCUUGUCUUAUGUUGCCAGCACGUUGUGGUGGGGACUCGUAAGAAACUGCCGGGGUUAACUCGGAGGAAGGUGGGGAUGACGUCAAAUCAUCAUGCCCCUUAUGUCCAGGGCUUCACACAUGCUACAAUGGUCGGUACAGUGGGUUGCCAGUCCGUGAGGGCGAGCUAAUCCCGCAAAGCCGGUCUCAGUUCGGAUCGGGGUCUGCAACUCGACCCCGUGAAGUCGGAGUCGCUAGUAAUCGCAGAUCAGCAACGCUGCGGUGAAUACGUUCCCGGGCCU